rnacentral:rRNA from 1 species
CCAGCAGCCGCGGUAAUUCCAGCUCCGCAAGUGUAUUCCUAUACUGUUGCGUUUAAAUAGCUCGUAGUUGGAUCUGCGUGUUUAGCGCGCGGUGCCGUUUUUCGACGGUUACUGCGACGCGACACUGUACGCUGAUUGCAUCUCUUGAGUUGCUGUCAGCAAGUUUACUUUGAACAAAUCAGAGUGCUCAAAACGGGCGUUUCGCUCGAAUGUUCUUGCAUGGAAUAAUGGAAUAGGACCGCGCGUUCUAUUUUGUUGGUUUUCGGGACGCGGGUAAUGAUUAAGAGGGACAGACGGGGGCAUUUGUACUGCGACGUGAGAGGUGAAAUUCUUGGAUCGUCGCAAGACAGACUACUGCGAAAGCAUUUGCCAAGAAUGUUUUCAUUAA